rnacentral:rRNA from 1 species
GACGAACGCUGGCGGCGUGCUUAACACAUGCAAGUCGAACGGAAAGGCCCCUUUGGGGGUACUCGAGUGGCGAACGGGUGAGUAACACGUGAGUAACCUGCCCUUGACUUCGGGAUAACUUCAGGAAACUGGGGCUAAUACCGGAUAGGAAUCCUUGCUGCAUGGUGGGGGUUGGAAAGCUUCGGCGGUUUUGGAUGGACUCGCGGCUUAUCAGCUUGUUGGUGGGGUAGUGGCUUACCAAGGCUUUGACGGGUAGCCGGCCUGAGAGGGCGACCGGCCAAAUUGGGACUGGGAUACGGCCCAACCCCCUGCGGGGGGCAGCAGGGGGGAAUAUUGCACAAGGGGGGGAAGCCUGAUGCAGCAACGCCGGGGGCGGGAUGAGGGCCUUCGGGUUGUAAACCGCUUUCAGCAGGGGCGAAGCUUGUGGUGACGGUACCUGAAGAAGAAGCACCGGCUAACUACGU